GCCUUCGUGGUGUAAUGUUCAGCACACUGAGCCGGUAUUUCAGAGGUCCGCGGUUCGAUUCCCGGCGAAGGCG
rnacentral:tRNA from 1 species